AGAAUCAACGCUGGCGGCGUGCCUCAGACAUGCAAGUCGAACGCGAAAGGCCCCUUCGGGGGCUGAGUAGAGUGGCGCACGGGUGAGUAACACGUAGGUAAUUUGCCUUCGGGUGGGGAAUAACUCGAGGGAAACUUGAGCUAAUACCGCAUAAUGCAGCGGCUCGACAUCGAGACAGUUGUUAAAGCGGGGGAUCGUAAGACCUCGCGCCUGAAGAGAAGCCUGCGGCAGAUUAGCUAGUUGGUAGGGUAAUGGCCUACAAGGCGACGAUCU
rnacentral:rRNA from 1 species